CAGAAAGUUUGACGCAUGCGCAGAUAAAUUUUUAUUACUCAUAUUUCUGACAUCAGAUUAAAUUUUGGGAGAGGACGAUCGUGUUUCAGUUUAUAGUAAUGUUUUUAUCCGGCAUUCCCAAAGGUUAUGUGUCAAUUAUUUGUUACCAUUGGAUAUCACACCCCACUGAGUGCUCAUAACGUUUGUGUUUAUAAUUCUAAGUGGAAAACAUGACAAUUUACUGUGUUGGAUACUCAUAAAAAUAUUGCUUAUGGUGAUCGAACUACCCAAAACAUCUAAUGCUAGGAUGGGCAAUGCAGGACCAUCUCGUCAAAAUACUAUGCAUAAGAGAUUAAAACAGUGUCCUGUUGACAGCAUGAAGAUGCCCAUGCCUGAGCAGAAUGAGCUGGAGAAACGAUUUACUAAAGUAUUGGCAUCAAUGGAUUUGCCACCAGAUAAAGUGAAACUUUUAAAGCAAUAUGACGAUGAGAAGAAGUGGGACAUGAUAUGUGAUCAAGAAAAAGUCAUGGCGAAAGCGUCUCCUGCUUUUUAUCUUCGUAAAUUAAAAACAUAUUUAGACCCUAAAGCCUCUAGAAGCUCUCGAAAAAGAAAAAUUCUAGGUGAUGCUACAUCUACACAGGUGUUAAGAGAUCUUGAAAUAUCAUUAAGAACGAACAACAUAGAAUGGGUGAGAGAAUUUCUUAAUGAAGAUAAUAUGGGACUUGAUGUUCUAGUUGAUUAUUUAUCUUUUAGACUUUUAAUUGUAAGGCAUGAGCGUAUUGUUACUGAAGCAAAUCAUGAUGAUGAAGAAGAAAUAAUUCCUAAUGGAAAUACUCUCAGACCAAAAAAUAGACCAUUACUUCAUGUUGAAAGCUUAAAAGUUCGAAGAGCCACAAAACACAUAGCUAAACUAAAUAUGGGAGAAGCAAAAGAUGACAUACAUGUUUGCAUCAUGUGCUUGCGAGCCAUAAUGAACAAUAAAUACGGGUUCAAUAUGGUAAUUGAACACACGCAAGCCAUCAAUUGCAUUGCCCUCAGUUUGAAUCACAAGAGCUUAAGGACAAAGGCACUGGUUCUAGAACUUUUAGCUGCAAUAUGCUUAGUGAAAGGAGGUCACCAAAUAAUUCUUGCCGCUUUUGACAACUUUAAGGAUGUUUGUGGUGAAAAAAAGCGAUUUGAAACAUUAAUGGAAUACUUCAUUAAUUAUGAAGUAUUUAACAUUGACUUUAUGGUUGCUUGCAUGCAGUUUGUGAACAUUGUUGUCCAUUCUGUAGAAGACAUGAACUUUAGGGUUCAUCUGCAAUAUGAAUUUACACAAAUCGGUUUGGACGAUUACUUAGAAAAACUAAGGCAGACUGAAAGUGAGGAACUUCAGGUUCAGAUUUCGGCAUAUUUGGACAAUGUAUUUGAUGUUGGUGCUCUAAUGGAAGAUUCAGAAACAAAGAGUGCAGCAUUAGAACAAGUUGCAGAUUUAGAAGAACAACUAUCUCGUGCAAAUGAGCAAAUACAAGAAAUGGAAAAUGAACUUAUGGCUCGACUAGUUGAACUUGAAACGCACUUGGAAUGUUUGGAUGCCGUCACUCGAGAAAGAAAUGAACUUUUGGAAUUGCAUAAACAGACAGAUGAAGAGUUGAAUACUCUUAGAAGAGUUGUUUCACAAAAAGAUGAAGAAUCUAGGCAGAGACAAAGUAUGCUGGAGUCCAAAAUUCAAGAACUAGAAAGCAACAGUCUUCCGAGAGGAACUGUCAUUGGAGGAACUGCAAUGGAUGGUCGAAUUCAAACCACUCAAGUCAUGCCACCACCACCCCCUCCUCCACCUCCACCACUACCCUCCAUGCAAGUUAUGCCUCCUCCACCUCCACCCCUUCCACAAAUGAUGAAGGCUCCACCUGGUCCUCCACCCAUGCCUGGCAUGAUGCAAGCCCCACAAGAUGCCAUGACAAUCAAGAGAAAGUUCCAAACCAAAUACAAAUUACCAACCCUUAAUUGGAUAGCACUGAAGCCUAACCAAGUUAAAGGGACAAUAUUCAGCGAAUUAGAUGAUGACAAGCUGCACAAUGUUAUAGACUUCACUGAGUUCGAAGAGCAUUUCAAAUUGGGAAUCCAGGGAGGUUUUUCAGAUCGUAAUGAAGAUAUAAAUAGCAGUAAGAGAUUCAAGGUACCUGAAAAAGUUACUUUAUUGGAACACAACAGAUUGAGAAAUAUGGCCAUCUCUAGGCGGAAGGUAGAACUUCCUUGUGAUGUGGUGGUGAGGGCGAUAAAUGCAUUAGAUUUGACAACUCUCUCUCAGGAGUAUGUUGAAGUACUUCUUAGAAUGGUGCCAACUGAAGCUGAAAUGAAGGCUUAUAAAGAAUAUGAACGUAAUCGGAAGUCUGUUGAUGCUUUAACAGACGAAGACAAGUUCCUAUUUCAGCUGUCUAAAGUUGAAAGGUUAUCUCAGAAGCUCAAUAUCAUGUCUUACAUGGCUGGAUUCACUGAAAAUAUUCAACUUAUUACUCCAAAUAUCAACGCCAUUAUCAGUGCAUCACGGUCAAUUAAAAAUUCCAAAAGGCUGAAAAAACUGCUUGAAGUUAUUCUGGCUUUUGGAAAUUAUAUGAAUAGCGCAAAACGGGGUCCAGCUUAUGGCUUUAAGCUCCAAAGCUUGGAUAUGCUUGCUGACACAAAAACUGCAGAUAGAAAAAUUACUCUUCUCCAUUACAUUGCUGAAACUGUUCAUCAAAAGUUUCCAGACAUUUCUAACUUUGAAAAUGAUUUGCGAUUUUUAGAAAAAGCAGCAUCAGUUUCAAUGGAAAAUAUCCUUACUGAUGUUCACGAGUUGGAAAAAGGCAUGGACUUGUGUAAAAAAGAGAUGCAACUGAGGCGUGAUGCCAGAGACGCUGCUGUGUUGAAAGACUUUUUAAACAGCCACGAAGAUUCUCUGAGGAAGCUGAAAGAGGGUGCUAAAACUGCUCAGGAAGCAUAUUCUGAUUGUGUGCAAUAUUUUGGUGAUAGUGUUCGUUCAAUAGCUGCCAAUACCUUUUUCUCACUUUUUGUACGCUUCUCUAAAGCAUAUAAGCAAGCAGAAUUGGAAAAUGAAGCGAGAAAAAGGCAAGAAGCAGCUGCGAGAGAAAGUGAAAAAAUAGCUGCUGAAAAUGUUUCAAAAAGAAAUAGUCUGAAUUCUAGAAAAAAUAAUCAAGUAGGUUUUGGCGCUUAAAACUAUAAGCUUGUAGAGAAGCUGUGAUUAAUGAACUGAAAAGCAAAACUAGACAAGUGAAAGAAACAAGGUUAUUGAAACAAGAUGAAGUCUACCAUGGGGCUUUAGAAGACAUUUUACUGGGUCUUAAAAGUGAGCCAUAUCGACGUGCAGAUGCUGUUCGAAGAAGUCAACGACGAAGACAAGAAAAUAUAAGGCUAUCCCAUACAAUGGAUGAAUUGGAC
rnacentral:misc_RNA from 1 species